ensembl:lncRNA
GGUGAAGGCAGCCCUCUGUACAGACUGUGUUCAUUGCCUGGAAUCUGCUGGCACCUGGAGCAACCUUUCUUUGGCUGUGCCCAGGAGCUGAGCUGCAGCCCCAGGGUGGAGAGAGCUGACUGGGACACCCGGAGGGUGACACUUCCUUGGCAGGUCCUCCUGCACAGCCUGUGCCAGUGGCUCUGUGGGAAGCCUGAGGAAGCUGCAGCUCUUCUCCUCCUGCCUCCAGGGAAGCUGCAGCACGUCACUGCCAGGGUGAGCAUCGGUGCCAUCGCCUCUCUCCUUUCCCCCAGGUCAUUCCAAGGAAUAGCAGCUCGCUCCAACAAAAAGUGCCCUAUAAAGAGACAAACCAAAGCAUCCCUCUGAAAAAUGGGUUGGAUUUGGCCAGAGUUCACGGCGUACGAGAGCACCAAGGUGUAAGCCAAGGCCAGGGGAUUCAUGUCCAACAGAGAGCUGAAAGAAUGAGAAGUGAUUCCAAUCCGAGCCCCUUUCUCAUGGCCCACCUCUGGGAAAGACUACAGGAUCUCAGGCUCCACCAGCAGUGGAGAUCUUUGUCAAAAUCAGAUCACGAUGCAGGAGAGCGGGCGAGGUUGCGCAACCCAGAGCGAAGUUUCCCAUGCCUGCUGUGACUCAGUGUGUUCCUGGUGUCUUGGAAAUGGGAAUUAGAGAGUAAGGCAUCACAUCCUAGCACUGUUUAAGUCAGGGUGUUGUGCUUUGGGGUUGUUUGUUUGUUUGUUUGUUUUAAUUUAAGUGAUCUUGUCUCAUAGAGCAAACAACCUGCUAAUUCUUAUGUGCUCCAUGUUUCCAGUGAGCAGCACCAGGAGAAACAUCAGGCAGGAUUCCUCUGAACCAGUCACCCUUAAUCUCUUUUACAGGUGAGAAACAAAUGCAAAUCAGAUGCAAUUCCCCUCUUCUGGAGUGUCUGCAAGGUGCUCUGCCAUUAAACACAAUUACAGAGUGGAGCUCAAACCCAGCUUCCACUCCUAGCUUUAGGAAGCAGGACAGGGGCACUCAAAGUUCAGCCCCAGGUGUCUGUUUGUUCUUCAGCUGAUGGGUAAGGAGUGCUGAGUUCUCUCUCUGAAAGCUUCAGCUGGUGUGAGAUAUCACCUGGCUCCUCCCCAUGCUUCUCCUCUGGCCAUGGGCAGAUGUUGGGACAACUCUCCUGAACUUCAGCUUCCUCCACCAGAGCUCAGAACUCAUCCAGCCUGGCCCUCAAGACUUCCAGGCUGCUUCUUAAUGGUUAAUAUUAUUGUUUAAUGCCUAAAUAACAAUGCAGAAUGUGCCUGGAGUGCAUUUAAUGAGUUGCCAUUAGUCAUAAGGAUUCCACACUGUUGGUGAGUCUUUAUUUGCAGAGCCUGGUGUCACGAGGGUGUCACAUGGACAAAGCACUUGCAAAAAAGGGUUAGGAGCUAAACAGACAGAAAAACAUUAUUAUCACCGUUUUAGCAGAGUGAAGCAAGCCUCUGAAGCCUCAAAAAGCCUGUAUCAGCCAGGAAUUGAAAGGAAAAUCCCUUUCCAAUUCUACUGUAAUUCAGAUUUUGUUAACUACAAUUAUGUCUCAAACACCUGUAAUGCUGAAAUCUGAUUUACUCUGAUCUAAUCUGAUUUACUCAAAAAGUCAGCCAGUUGCUUCUCAGAGCUGUGAUUAACAUUUGGGCCCUAAAUUUAAGUCUUUGCUUGGACUAACACAAACUUCUGAAGUCUGGAGCUGCCUCUGGUUGUCACAGUUUCAUCUCAGCUCCAGCCACUACAGGCAGGUGUUUUGCCAUUGCAUGUCUGCAGAAGGAGCCUUGUCCAAUCAUUUCAUAUUUUCUCUUUUUUUUUCCUGGAUAAAACUAUAUAUAUUUCACCAAAUAAAUUUCACCAUGAAGACCUACA